rnacentral:lncRNA from 1 species
CUGUGCUGAUAGCUCAGGCUGCCCGCACCUCCCUCCUCUGUUCGCAUUCACCGCUCGCCUGUUGGGGAUAUGCCAUGCAAAAUAGAAGUGGAUGGACAUCCUUCCAUCCCGGCCAGUGCAGAGCUGGCCACAGGCUGGGCCAGGAGAAUGACCACAGGCCUCUGCUGGGGAGCGCCAGCAGGCCUCCAGCCUCCAGCCUCCAGUAUGUGGAGUCCUGUCCAGUUCCUUGGCGUGAGGCACACGAGGUGGGCACGUCCACAUUUCAGGUGAUGUGGCCCCUGCAGGCCAUCACGCAGAUCCCGCUGACAGACUUGGGUGGAACAGAUGUUCUUGUGUGAGUGGUGUCCUUGGAGAACUAUCCUGGGGUAACUGGGCCUCCAGCGGAUUCAGGCCGUGGCAGGUGCCAUCGACUCCACACUCAGCCUGCACUUCCGGAGUGCUCUGCCCUAAGAAAGUCUCUCCUUGGUGUUCUUGGUCUGAGUCUGGAGCGAUCCCCAAAGGCACUAAGAUAGAGCCCCGGACCGUCUUGGGUCUAUUGACAAAGGAUUCAAAUGACCUACUUUUGAGCCCAAGCUGGACACUGACCUGGGGAGCCUCAGAGUGAGUGAUGCUUCCCACUUGUGGUCCCGUGAGAUUGAACGGGUGGAGCCCCUUGUGGGAAUGUUGCCUUUCAUGAUUGGACCAAUAUCUGUUGAGCAUCUACGUUUGGCAGGGAC